UAAGCUUAGGCCUCGGCCCUCAGGGGUGGCUAUCGUAAUUUCCUCUAUUUUAUUUCUUGAGCGGCAACUGAAGAGUCGAAGAUAACCACCCAAAUGUCCUCCCGCUAAGUAGAUAAACCCGGCAAACUCAAAUAUUCAGCAGUCGCCAAUCGCCAUGGCCAUUAUCGGUGUUUAUCGAACAGAAAAAACUUUGGCUUCUUCUCCGUUUGCUUUUCGGUCAGUGUAUAACAGAUAGGUAAGCAAAUACCUUUCUCUUGAUUCAUUGUAGUGAUUCAGAGAACUACAACCAUGUAUAAGCCCGUCCAUCUUUGAUUUCUCUUCGUGUAUUUCUUUUCUUUAUUUAUUCUCUUUCUUUCUUGUUUUCCUCGGAAAUUCUUGUGGGUGUGAUGGAACUCUGUUCUGUGAGGAUUUCCGGUGGUAAUUUAAGGUGUACUGGUCAGACUGAGAGUAAGCCAACUCUCUUAAACCAUUGUGUCUCCAUUGGAAGGAGAAAAACUGGAAAUUUGGAGGUUUUAAAAUAUGGUUUUAUCGGGAACUGGAAGAAACACAGGAAAAAGCAAGUGAAUUUUUGUGUUUUUGUUACGGGGGCAUCUUGUGGGAUGAGAGUGAAGGAGAAACCCGGGAAGGGGUUUUCUCCUGAUAAUGUUAUUGAGGUUCUCAAGACCAUGUCUGACCCUGAUCAGGCUCUGGUGUUCUUCAAAACUGUCGCCCAACAGCCAAAUCUUGUCCAUACUACUGAAUCCUGCAAUUAUAUGCUUGAAUUCUUGAGAAUCCAUGGGAAGGUGGAAGGGAUGGCUGUUGUGUUUGAUUUGAUGCAGAAGCAAAUCAUAAAGAGGAAUUUGGAAACCUACUUGACCAUUUUCGAGGCUCUAUAUAUACGGGGAGGGAUCCGGCAAUCUCCUUAUGCUCUUGAGCAGAUGAGAAAAGCUGGUUUUUUUUUGAAUGCCUUCUCGUACAAUGGGUUGAUUCAUCUACUUCUUCGAUCUGGGUUUCGUAGGGAGGCUUUGUUGGUAUAUAGAAGGAUGGUAUCGGAAGGAAUUAGGCCUAGUCUGAAGACAUACUCUGCACUUAUGGUAGCAGUGGGGAAGACAAAGGACACUGAAACUGUAAUGGGUCUAUUGAAAGAGAUGGAAAGUUUGGGAUUGAGGCCGAAUAUAUACACCUUCACAAUAUGUAUUAGGGUACUUGGGCGUGCUGGAAAAAUUGAUGAAGCAUAUGGGCUGCUAAAGAGAAUGGAGGAGGAGGGGUGUGGACCAGAUGUGGUUACUUACACAGUCUUAAUGGAUGCUCUUUGUAAUGCUGGGAGGCUUGCUAAAGCCAAGGAGUUGUUUUUGAAGAUGAAGUCCAGUAGUCAUAAACCUGAUCGGGUAACUUACAUCACCUUGUUGGACAAGUUCACUGAUUCUGGAGAUUUAGACUCCAUAAGAGAAUUUUGGAGGGAAAUGGAAGCUGAUGGUUAUGUUCCUGAUGUGGUUACCUUCACAAUACUUGUUGAUGCUUUAUGCAAAGGAGAUAAGAUUGAUGAAGCAUUUGCCACACUGGACAUAAUGAGAAAGAAAGGUAUCUUACCAAAUCUAUACACAUAUAAUACUUUGAUUUGUGGUCUUCUAAGAGUUAAUAGAUUGAGUGAAGCAUUAGGACUCCUCGAUUUUAUGGAAUCUCAAGGUCCUGAGCCAACCGCUUACACAUACAUCCUUUUCAUUGACUAUUAUGGAAAAUCAGGGGAGCAUGGCAAAGCUCUUAGUACCUUUGAGACGAUGAAGAGUAGGGGAAUUGUUCCUAAUGUUGUUGCCUGCAAUGCAUCUCUAUAUAGCCUUGCAAAAUUGGGUAGCCUUGGCAAGGCAAAAAAUAUCUUUCAUGGACUUAAAAACAGCGGCCUUUUUCCAGAUGCUAUAACUUAUAAUAUGAUGAUGAAGUGCUACAGUAAGGCAGGGAAAGUAGAUGAAGCCAUCAAAUUACUCUCAGAGAUGAUGGAAACAGGAUGCGAUCCGGAUGGGAUAACAAUCAAUUCUUUAAUUGAUACACUUUACAAGGCUGAUCGGGUAGAUGAGGCAUGGAAAAUGUUUCAUAGGAUGAAGGAAAUGAAGCUUAUUCCUACAGUUGUGACCUACAAUACAUUGUUAUCUGGGCUAGGAAAAGAGGGUAGAGUGGAAAAGGCUAUGGAUUUAUUUAGCAGUAUGAAAGAACUAGGUUGUCCUCCUAACACAGUAACAUUCAAUACACUUCUAGAUUGCCUUUGCAAGAAUGGGGAGGUUGACAUGGCUUUGGAAAUGUUCUAUAAAAUGACAGAAAUGGAUUGUGUGCCAGAUGUUCCAACUUACAACACUAUCAUAUAUGGUUUAGUUAAACAAAAUAGAGUUAAUGAUGCAUUUUGGAUAUUUAAUCAGAUGAGAAAAAUGUUGUUUCCUGAUUUGGUAACUUUGUGCACCCUUCUUCCUGUUGUUGUGAAGGAUAAUCGGAUUGAGGAUGCUUUCAGGAUUGCUGUAGACUUUUUUAAUCAUCCCCAGGAACACACAGAUAGAACCUCUAUGGAGGUUCUAAUGGAAGGGAUCUUAAUUGAAGCAGAAAUAGAUCAAUGCAUUAUAUUUGCUGAAAAACUGUUAUCUAGUAGGGUGUGCCAGAAUGACUCCAUACUGUGCCCUGUAAUAAAGUCUAUGUGCAAGCAUAAGAAAGUCCUUGAUGCUUAUCAUCUAUUUGAGAGAUUUACUAAGGGCUAUGGAAUCCAACCAACCCUUGAAUCAUAUAAUGCUUUAAUUGAUGCACUCCUUGAAGCCAAUCGGCCCAAUCUUACUGAAAUAGCUUGGGGACUAUUUGAAGAGAUGAAGAAGGCUGGUUGUAAUCCUGAUAUUUUCACCUACAAUCUGUUACUUGAUGCUCUUGGGAAGUCUGCAAGGAUUGAUCAACUUUUUGAGCUGCAUGAAGAAAUGUUGUCUAGGGAAUGCAAACCAAACACCAUAACUUACAACAUUCUUAUAUCUGGCCUUGUUAAGUCCAAAAAGUUAGAUAAAGCUAUAGACUUAUACUAUGAUCUUAUGAGCGGAGAUUUCAUUCCAAGCCCUUGUACAUAUGGUCCUCUCAUAGAUGGGCUUUCAAAGGCUGGGAGGGUGGAGGAAGCAAAGCAGUUCUUUGAGGAAAUGGUGGACUAUGGAUGCAAGCCUAACUGUGCCAUUUAUAAUAUUCUUAUAAAUGGCUUUGGGAAGGUGGGUGAUGUGGAAACUGCUUGUGAGUUGUUUGGUAGAAUGGGGAAAGAAGGCAUCAGACCAGAUUUGAAGUCCUAUACUAUUCUUGUAGAUUGCCUUUGUAUGGUGGGUAGAGUGGCUGAUGCCCUGCACUACUUCGAGGAGAUAAAGUUAAAUGGCCUUGUGCCUGACUUGGUUGCUUACAACCUAAUAAUUAAUGGCCUUGGAAGAUCACGGAGAAUAGAGGAGGCACUCUCUCUGUUUGAAGAGAUGCAGAGUGGAGGGACCAAUCCUGACCUUUAUACCUACAACUCCUUGAUACUCCAUCUUGGGAAGGUUGGAAUGGUGGAUGAAGCAGGAAAGAUGUAUGAAGAACUCCAACUUAAGGGGCUUGAACCUAAUGUCUUUACAUAUAAUGCCCUCAUUCGAGGGUAUAGCAUGUCUGGCAAUCCUGACCUUGCAUAUGCAGUAUAUAAGCAAAUGAUGGUAGGGGGUUGCAUUCCCAACACAGGAACAUUUGCACAGCUUCCUAAUCAAUCUUGACAUCUUUGAGGUGUUAAGGAGGCCUAUCAUCAUUGUGCAUGGAUGUGAAGUUCGCAAAGGUUUAUCUGAUAUUGCUUUUAUUUCAACUGACAAGUCAACAUUGAGUUCUUGCACUUUAUCAUAUGCAACUGGAAGAUCAGGGCUCAUUCUUGUCCCCAGCAGAGGAUGAGAGUUCAAGAGAAGUUUUUGGUCUUAUAAAGAAGCUGAAUGUUGCCCCUGAUACAAAGAAAAAGGCAAAGCCAACAUCCUUUUUCAAUAUGCUGGUUACAGGAGGAAACAGUAAUAGUGCUUCUAAGUCAUCCGUCACCUACAGUUCUCAUACCUGCUCUUCGAACAGUUGGAAACAUUGUCACAGGAGAUGAUGCUCAGACUCAGGU